UCACAAAACUCAUCACCAUCUCUCUCUCUCUCACUUACUCAAUCAAUCUCUAUUUUCUAGAUCUCUCACAUAUAUAGUAGAAAGGGAAAAUGGUGAAGAUUGUCGAAAGCAUGAAGAAAGGAUUUUCUAGUUUUGUUGAAAUUGUAACUUGUGGCAGCAAAAGCGCAAAGACAAAUGAUGCAGAAGUUCCAAAGCUCAAAGUUGAGAUAAAAGCAACCACCGAAGUGAAUUCAAGUGCUCGCGAUAUAGAAUCACAUUAAAAGAAGAUCAUAUACCUGGAUUUAAAGAAAAAAAAUAUUUUCAACAUUGAUGUUUUCUUAGUUGUUUCUAUAAUAUAUUUCGUCUGAUAUAUAUAUUUUAUUUAUUUAAUUAACUGACUUUGUUAUGUAAUAUUGCCGGAUUUGGCAUUUACUAUAAGUCUGUAAAAGUGUUAGCUAUAAAUUUUACUUACAAGAUAUUCUAGCUA